rnacentral:rRNA from 1 species
CGGCGUGCCUAACACAUGCAAGUCGAACGGAGUGUUGUGCUGAAAUUGAGAUUAGCUUGCUAAAGGAUAUUCUUGCAACACUUAGUGGCGGACGGGUGAGUAACGCGUGAGGAACCUGCCUUACAGAGGGGGACAACAGUUGGAAGCGACUGCUAAUACCGCAUGAUGUGGAGGGGAGACAUCUCCCUUUCACCAAAGGAGCAAUCCGCUGUAAGAUGGCCUCGCGUCUGAUUAGAUAGUUGGUGGGGUAACGGCCUACCAAGUCGACGAUCAGUAGCCGGACUGAGAGGUUGAACGGCCACAUUGGGACUGAGACACGGCCCAGACUCCUACGGGAGGCAGCAGUGGGGAUAUUGCACAAUGGAGGAAACUCUGAUGCAGCAACGCCGCGUGAGGGAAGAAGGUUUUCGGAUUGUAAACCUCUGUUUUUAGUGAAGAAACAAAUGACGGUAGCUAAAGAGGAAGCCACGGCUAACUACGUG